UACGUAGGGUGCGAGCGUUGUCCGGAAUUAUUGGGCGUAAAGGGCUCGUAGGCGGUCUGUCGCGUCGGGAGUGAAAACUCAGGGCUUAACCCUGAGCCUGCUUCCGAUACGGGCAGACUAGAGGUAUGCAGGGGAGAACGGAAUUCCUGGUGUAGCGGUGGAAUGCGCAGAUAUCAGGAGGAACACCCGUGGCGAAGGCGGCUCUCUGGGACGGUACUGACGCUGAGACGCGAAAGCGUGGGGAGCGAACAGG
rnacentral:rRNA from 1 species